GGCUUGUAGCUCAGGUGGUUAGAGCGCACGCCUGAUAAGCGUGAGGUCGGAGGUUCGAGUCCUCUCAAGCCACCA
rnacentral:tRNA from 3 species